rnacentral:rRNA from 1 species
UACGGAGGGUGCAAGCGUUGUUCGGAAUCACUGGGCGUAAAGCGCGUGUAGGCGGCUUCGUAAGUCUGGUGUGAAAGCCCGGGGCUCACCCCCGGAAGUGCACUGGAAACUGCAAGGCUCGAGUACCGGAGAGGAGGGUGGAAUUCCUGGUGUAGCGGUGAAAUGCGUAGAUAUCAGGAGGAACACCGGUGGCGAAGGCGGCCCUCUAGUACGGUACUGACGCUGAGACGCGAAAGCGUGGGGAGCGAACAGG